GGGGCUGAGUGCUGGGCUUUGUUGCUUCCUCCGCACUCAGACCUCCCAGAUCGUUAGAUGUCUUCCCGGGGCUCCUUCCUGCACGGUCUGGGAAAUCACUUAUAUUUGCUCAGGGAGUUGACUCGCCAAAUCCUGCCGCUUACGUCAUCCCAUCGAAUCUUUAACUCCUUUUUGCAGACGAGGACACAGCUCGACAGCAGGUCCUGAAGAAUCUGCAGGAAACAUUUACAAACCAUCGCUUUAGGCCAUACCUGUGAGGAGCAAAAGAGCCCGCUGGGUCUCCUGACCAACCAGCACAAUCUGUUUGAAGCUCAUGGAGUGGUGGAACGUCAUCUUGAAGACCCGCUGCCCACUGGACUGCAGAUAGACCUCCACACAGUCACAGGCCCGGCUGCUGGUUGUGCCUACCACUCCUGGCUGCUCCCGAGUGGCCAAGACGUAGAGGGCCGGACCCCAGAACCCUGCUCUCGAAGGCGUGGACUGAGUCUGCGGCAGAUGCGUCUCCACACGCCCUCAGCAUCGCACACUUCGUGGAAGUAGUGGCAGGUCUGACCUAGGGCGAUGACAUCUCUUACUGGGAGGAAUGAGAUGAUAUGCUCCACCUGGAGGCAGAAGCGGGGAAGUGGAGGUCAUUGGGAGCCAGCCCCUCAGUGGUCUGGCCCCCAGUCCUGCAUUCUCAGUCCUUCAACUCCAAAGACUCACCAGCUCUGGGGGAAACAAUUGAACAGAAAUAGGGUUUCCUCUUCCCUUCUUCUCUUGGCCCCCAGGCUCUGGGCCACAGGAAGGACAGCUCCGCUUCACCUGCAGAGUGAAAGGGGGAGUGUGGGGGUCCUGUGAGAGUCCCACCUCUUUUGCUCACUGCUCUUGACCUGUCUUGCUCUGUACUGUCAAAUCCUCCCGUCUCUCUCCAGGUCCAUGGGCCAACCCUCCCUGUCUGCCUUGCUCCUCAACAUAACCCAUCCCCAGAUCUCUUGCUGCCAUCAUCUCCCUGCCCUUCCCUUGCUUUGCCACCCCCCUCACCCUGAGCCCCUCCUCCCGUCCGCACAGCCCGGUCCAUUUUUGCAGCUUUUGUCUCCGGCUUCUCCUCACCAUCCUGCCUGUCCCCUCCCUGCUCCUGCCCUCAUCUCUCCGGGCCCCUUGGCCCCCCGUACUCAGCUCCCUGGCCCCUGUCCUGGCUGUCUUUCCCACACCAUGUCCCCUGCCUGGGCUUGGGGGACCUCUGGGGCCCCUCUACCUCCUAGGCCCCUCCCCCAUGGAGUCUAGGACAAACAAACCUCUCUGUGACCUCACUGUCCAGCCACUGUGACCUAUUCUCCUAAAUCUGGUUGGAGACCUGGCUCCUGGGUUCCAGCUCAGCUCUAGCUACUGAACUGCUCAUGGGAGAUGCAUUUUACUAGAGAAAUAAAGUGUGAACUACUGGUAGAUGAGGCCUUGACUUUCAGGGAAUAGUAGGAGAUUUUCCCACUUGACACCCUUUCAGCA